GUGAGCUUAUAGGUGUGGAAUACCUCUAUCAGCAAACUGGCAAAGUUCUGCAGGACUACAAAGUGGUCAUUGAAGAGUCUGAGACCACUGAAGUUGAGAUAGAUGAGGGCUUCACAGGACAUGACAGUACCCACACUAGAGGCAGAGCAAGCACUUCUCGCCUCACAAGCAUCUGCAGCUGUUCCUGGUUCCUCAGCAGCUCCAUCUCCUCAGGCUACUGCCUUUGUGCCUCCCAUUCCCCCCGUUAUCCCUCUGUUGCCAGUGACUCAGUCACAUGUCGCCUCAUCAUCAGCUUCUGCAGCUCCUUCACCUGCUGUGACCGCUCUGCUCCCCCAUUCCACACAAACAGUUUCUCCUGCAGAACAGUCUACAUCAGCGCCAUCUACUGAUCCAUCUCCACACUCCUCCUCAUGCCAUGAUUGGGUUGGCCCUGAUAACAUUGAAGGGUAUGGCGCAGUGCAGGAUCUGGCUGAUUACUUGGCUGGACUAAGAGACCACCGUCUUGCGCUGACUCAGGAGGAAUGUAGUCAGGUCAUUGCUCUGUGGCAGGAACUGGGGGAGUAUGACAAAAAAAAAACUGUCUACCCAGCUCGACACCAGACCAGCCUGAGCAAGGGACGAUUCCGGGCUACGAAGAAGAUUGUGGCUCCAGGUGUGGAGAGCACCAAAAGGUCUUUCGUCGGGGCUCACAGUCCUGCACAGUGGCCCGACUGCAACAGAGUGGUUGAGGCGAUCUUUGUCAAGCUUUUUGCCAUCUACCCGAGCACUGUGCGCUGUGAGGGAAAGAAGCUGUCAAGAUACACUGUGGUGAUACGCGCGUACAAAAACAUCAGGGAGUGCGUAGUCACAAACGCCAGGCUGAUGAGCGAGACCACUAUACAGCUGCCUGAAGUAAAUGCUGCAACAGUUUCACAGUGGUACUGCAGGCGGUGCAAGGCACAGGAGCAGGAUAUUUUAAAGCAGGGUCUUCCAGCUUUACAGGCCCCAAUGGCAGCUCCAUCAAGACUUCCACCUGCCCUGCAGAAAGGACAAACUUUUACAUUUGGCUCUUUAGCUCAGCCUCAUCCUUUUGUGCUGCCACCGAACACUGCUGGGCAGGCACAACUUAAAGGAAGACCACCAUCUCAGCCACCACCACCACCACCACAGACAUUGCUCUUUUUUCAUCCUGUUCCACCUGCCCCUCCAAAACCCUUAAUUACUUCCCCUCUAACAUUUCAGACACAGGUAACACCUCAAGCGGUUCCCUACACCACACAGCAGUAUAGGAAAAGAAAAAUGGAGGCAGAGCAGUCAGGUAUUUUUAAAAGAAAAUACACCAAAAAGAAAGACACUAUAGUUUGCAGCAAGUGCAAAAAGGACAGGAACCCUCCUACACAUCGCCAGUAUUUUGGCAACUGGUAUUGAGAAGAGACUGAGACUCAGUCCUAUGAUGAGUGGAGGGCUUUACUGGAGGAGCGCAAUUAUGGCAAAAAGUAAAUAAAGUGGGAAAUGAGG
rnacentral:lncRNA from 1 species